AUGCUUCGUCCCCUGAGCUCUCUGGAGGACCGGCUCACCUGCCGGGGGAACCCACUGACAGUGCGCUGCGGUCCAACUAAGGGCACCAGCGUUGAUUACGCGUGGCACCGACGCACACUACACAACUAUUUUGUGCUUCAGUACUCGCCAGACUUAUACCUGACAUGCGGCACGCUAUGGGAGGACAGCGAGUAUUACUGCACAGCAAAAAAUGGCAUAAGCAGUCAGGAGAGUGACGUCCUGUCUGUGAAGGUGCUGAUGCCUGCAGAGCGAGGCUGUAAAUAUGUGGUUACGUUGCGGGAACAACCCUUUUACGACUGUGAGGACAAAAUGAGCACCGCCACGGCCACAGCUCCACCUCCCACCACCCGCCAAGUUACCACGACGAUCCACUCUGACACAACAAAAGGGUCUUUUACAAUCAAUCAAACUGAUCAAGAUCCGUUUUUCAGCAGGGCUUGGACAGGAGUGCCGUUUUGGUAUACACUGCUCCGUUGGGGCUCUUUUGCGUCCCUAUUGAUAGUUUUGUGUGUCAUACUCAAAUGCACAAAAAGAAGACGCAAACGUGGCAAAAGGAAGAGGAGGGCUUGUACCAGGGUUGUGGCCCAGUUGGCUCAUUGACCUCAUUUUCACAGCGGUAGUUCUGUAGAAGUCGUAUAAGAUUGUGGCACAUUUGUUUAUGGUUUAAUGAUUGGUGAAGAGUCAUGCACAUUCAGCAUGUCCGUCACAGCGCUCUAUUGCAGCAUUCAUUAUCACAGACAAUUAAGUCAGACUAGAGACCUGUUUAACCUACCAGGGGGUGAAGAGAAGCGGAAUGAUCUGCCACGACAUCGUUGUGCUCAAUUAUAUCGGUUACCAUGAUAAUAUUGGGUUUGUUACAUAAUAUUAGAAAGCAAUAGUUCAAAGAAAGGAUUCCUUUUCAAUGCCAGCUGGGAAAGAUGACUAUGACAAUGGAUGGGAAAGGAGACCAGUCGUUGCUCUGCUUUUCAUUUCAUUUCCUUUCUUUGUUAACUUUUAUCAGAACAAACAUAUGCAAUUAGCCUCAGUGUUUAUUUUCAUUCCAGCAUGUUCACAGCAGGAAGCAAACCCACAGAUCCUGAACAAAGCGUCUCUCGUCUCUAAAAUGCUCAAAUAAUGUCCAAGCACUCGCACUGACUUUGAGUAUGUUGGCUUUAAGUUGAUACACGUAAUCUUUGACAUACAAUCCAGUGAAAGUAUGUGUGUAAUUAUAAUACAUUUAAAUAAAGCGUACUGUUUUUGCAGAUUGUGUUUCAGUAUGUGUACCAAGGUAGAGUUUAUGAGUGACGCAGCCAUAUAAGGAUAGUUUAUCAGAUUCUAAAGAAAUACAAAUACCUCUCCAUUUAUUUGUCAUCCUAUCUGUUGCUGAUGUUGAAUGAUGAUUCAGCGGCGAAGUGUUUUAUGGCAUGGAUGUUUACUGUCUACGUUUGUUCAAUAAAAAUCCAGAGAUUUGGCAGAGAAAUAUUAAAUGAUUAACAUUACCGUGGCUAGAAGCUGCAGGUGCCACUGACAUUUGAAUUCUCAAACUAAAAAUGUAACUUCCCAUUCCAAAACUUCCCAGCACGAGUCAUGUCUCAUGUUUUAAGAGCUUGGAAGCGACCUAAAAAGGAAAUUAACUAUGUGACUCAGUGGCAAGAGAGAAUAAUAGACGGAUAUUUUAUUAAAAGAUUAACAAGUCAGAG
ensembl:lncRNA